AUUGAACGCUGGCGGCAUGCCUAACACAUGCAAGUCGAACGGCAGCACGGGGGCAACCCUGGUGGCGAGUGGCGGACGGGUGAGGAAUACAUAGGAAUCUACCCUGUCGUGGGGGAUAACGUAGGGAAACUUACGCUAAUACCGCAUACGACCGAGAGGUGAAAGUGGGGGACCGCAAGGCCUCACGCGAUUGGAUGAGCCUAUGUCCGAUUAGCUAGUUGGCGGGGUAAGAGCCCACCAAGGCGACGAUCGGUAGCUGGUCUGAGAGGAUGAGCAGACACACUGGAACUGGGACACGGUCCAGACUCCUACGGGAGGCAGCAGUGGGGAAUAUUGGACAAUGGGGGCAACCCUGAUCCAGCAAUGCCGCGUGGGUGAAGAAGGCCUUCGGGUUGUAAAGCCCUUUUGUACGGGAAGAAAAGCUCUGGAUUAAUACUUCGGGGUCAUGACGGUACCGUAAGAAUAAGCACCGGCUAACUUCGUGCCAGCAGCCGCCGUAAGAC
rnacentral:rRNA from 1 species